CAGUCGCCGCGGUAAUACGAAGGGUGCAAGCGUUACUCGGAAUUACUGGGCGUAAAGCGUGCGUAGGUGGUGGUUUAAGUCCGUUGUGAAAGCCCUGGGCUCAACCUAGGAAUUGCAGUGGAUACUGGGUCACUAGAGUGUGGUAGAGGAUAGUGGAAUUUCCGGUGUAGCAGUGAAAUGCGUAGAGAUCGGAAGGAACAUCUGUGGCGAAGGCGACUAUCUGGGCCAACACUGACACUGAGGCACGAAAGCUAGGGGAGCAAAUGGGAUUAGAUACCCCCGUAGUCCCUGUCUCUUAUAC
rnacentral:rRNA from 1 species